rnacentral:rRNA from 1 species
GAUGAACGCUGGCGGUAUGCUUUACACAUGCAAGUCGUACGAGAGUUUUUAGCUCUAGUGGCGGACGGGUGAGUAACACGUAAGAAUUUGCCUUUAGGAGGGGGAUAACAACUGGAAACGGUUGCUAAUACCCCAUAUGCUUUCGAGUGAAAUGGAUUUCCGCCUAAAGAGAAGCUUGCGGCUGAUUAGCUUGUUGGUGAGGUAAUGGCUCACCAAGGCGACGAUCAGUAUCUGGUUUGAGAGGACGAUCAGACACACUGGAACUGAGACACGGUCCAGACUCCUACGGGAGGCAGCAGUGGGGAAUUUUCCGCAAUGGGCGAAAGCCUGACGGAGCAAUACCGCGUGAGGGAUGAAAGCCUAUGGGUUGUAAACCUCUUUUUUCAGGGAGGAACAAAAUGACGUGUACCUGAAGAAUAAGCAUCGGCUAACUCCGUGCCAGCAGCCGCGGUAAGACGGGGGAUGCAAGUGUUAUCCGGAAUCACUGGGCGUAAAGCGUCUGUAGGUGGUUAAGUAAGUCAACUGUUAAAUCUUGAGGCUUAACCUCAAAAUCGCAG